ACUCUAAUAGUUUAAUAAAAAUAUUGGUCUUGUAAACCAAAGAAUGAAGACUGCACCUCUUCUUAGAGUU
rfam:Phalacrocorax carbo contig92768, whole genome shotgun sequence.